UACGCCAUUGAACGCCAAUCUUACCCAGUUUCCUAUAUUUUCGAGCGGUUAUAGGUACAAAGUGGACCGAGCGACGUAAAGUGCUACAAAAGUGCUGGAACCAUACCCCGCCUUGCCUCCCCACAGGCAGCACUCUCUACACUUUCAAUUAUAAUUGUAUGCGAUUAUUUAUACUGAGCGAAUAGGCAUCACUGCAGCGAUACCCUUAGAAAAAUCCUCGGUCGAAAACUACUAAAUACAUUUGGUAAUGCAAAAUUAGUAGAAUGUACAAUUUUUUUGUAAAUAUUGUCAACAAACCCGCAUCCCUACCAGAGAUUAGUAUAUUUUACUCGAUAACAUUAGUAAGCUUGGAUAUUGUCAUAUCUGAAAAUUGGUGAGGAAAGCGCGUAUUAACCAUUUUCAUUGUUCCCAUAAGGCAAUACGGAGGUAUAAUAAGGAUAUAAUUCUGAUACGUGCAUUUUCGGCGAGAAAAUGUAGCCGAUAUUGGGCUUCCGAAUCAUGGUUCUGCUUGGCAUAUGUGUUUAUUAGUACGGUCGAAAAUGACUAUAGAUUGGUAGUAUUUACCAAAAAAUUCGUUAUAUUUACUAAUUAUUUCUCUCAGUGUAGCUUUUCUCCUUCUCGUUGAACUGUCAAAACAUGAAACAUGAAAGUGUUAAAGAAACAGUCGCCAAUAUCAGCUGGUUUUAGGGAUUCUAUUCUCAAUUGGAAUACUGCUCGGUAAAACAACACAGAGAAAACUUCCAAUCGAAGUAUGGACAGAAACCCUUAAACUCUCAAUGGCACAGCAAUAUUCCGUUGCAAUCGAUACGGGCGAUCGAAGAAAACUUUAAUUGCAGUUUUCAUCAAAUUCUUCAAACGACAGACAUCAUCAGGUAGAAGUGAUGUGAGGACGGAGAAGGUGGUUUCGAAGAAGACAAAAACUCGAUCUGUGUCAAUAAGGAAACAUUAUGCAGUAGCUGCAACCAGCCAUCCACUGAAAUCCCAAUAGUCGAUGAUGAAUUCUCCUGCUGUCGCUGUAGAGCACAAGAUGCGACGAAAACAAUUGAGCUGAGAGUGGAUAAAGUUCCGAAGAAAAUUUGCACUUGUCGGGGAUUUGCUGCUGACAACAUGAACGCUGCAAAUGUUUGCUUUCAAUAUUAGUGGCAUUGUAUUAAGUUUGAAAGCAUUAUAUGAAAAAUAAAUGUUUGGAAACAA